GACGAACCGUGCGAACGUUGUUCGGAAUCACUGGGCUUAAAGGGCGCGUAGGCGGGCCGCCAAGUCCGCGGUGAAAUCCCCCGGCUCAACCGGGGAACUGCCGCGGAUACUGGAGGUCUCGAGGGGGUAGGGGCAUGCGGAACUACGGGUGGAGCGGUGAAAUGCGUUGAUAUCCGUAGGAACUCCGGUGGCGAAGGCGGCGUGCUGGACCCCUUCUGACGCUGAGGCGCGAAAGCCAGGGGAGCGGAA
rnacentral:rRNA from 1 species